AUGCUCAUUUUGGCAGCACAUAUACUAAAAUUGGAAUGAUACAGAGAAGAUUAGCAUGGCUCCUGCACAAGGAUGAUGCACAAAUUUGUAAAGUGUUCCAUAUUUAA
ensembl:snRNA U6 U6 spliceosomal RNA